AGGAAAUGACCUCGUUCUUGAUGGCUGCUGCUAACUUAUGGUGAGAUGCUGGGUCCCUGUCCAAUACCACAUGGACAUCCAAUCAAUUUACCCAGGGACAAGUCCACUCAAGAGCAUCAUUUAGAAGAGGGAAAAGGCAUUGGGGUUAUUUGUUUUUGGAGUAUGUGCUUAAGGAAAUCUAGAGUAUUCCCACGAGCAUUCUGCUGAGAUGAACAAUCAGAUGACCUCGUGUGAGAUUUGGAGGAGAGAAGGAAAUGGAGAGCAUGCUUCUGCCGCUUCUGUGGUUUCUGUCGCAACCUUCGUGGGACUCAUUGCUGCUGGAGGCCUCAUAAAUAUUCUAGGGCUACAAUGCCCUGCAAAAAAGCCAUCAGCACUGGCAACCCUGACCCUCUUCUCUGUGGUUCGAUGGGAGCCAGGGCCAAGGGACAUGCAAGG
rnacentral:antisense_RNA from 1 species